rnacentral:lncRNA from 1 species
GACCCUCCGAGCCAGGUGUGGGAUAUAAUCUCGUGGUGCGCCGCUUUUUAAGCCCGUCAGAAAAGCACAGUAUUCAGGUGGGAGUGACACGAUUUUCCAGGUGCCGUCCGUCACCCCUUUCUUUGACUCGGAAAGGGAACUCCCUGACCCCUUGCGCUUCCCAAGUGAGGCAAUGCCUCGCCCUGCUUCGGCUCGCACACGGUGAGCACACCCACUGACCUGCGCCCACUGUCUGGCACUCCCUAGUGAGAUGAACCUGGUACCUCAGAUGGAAAUGCAGAAAUCACCAUCUUCUGCGUCGCUCACGCUGGGAGCUGUAGACCGGAGCUGUUCCUAUUUGGCCAUCUUGGCUCCUCGCCCCCAGUUUUGGUAUCGACUUCAAUAUUAUAAAGAUUCUGAACAACCCAAGAGCAUAUACGUUGCCCAUAUCCAAGGAAGAAUCAAGAUUAUCAAGACUAGCAACAAAGUCGCACUAUAGUAGUACUGGUCCAGAGUUUAAUCGUGUUCUCUUCAAUUUUGGAGGUCAGAGUCCAUUGAUUUUAUAUUAUCUUAAGAUGCAUGAGCUGGCUGGUAUUUCCAAAGCACCUAAGAAAA